AGCAGGCGCGCAAAUUACCCAAUCCCGACACGGGGAGGUAGUGACAAUAAAUAACAAUACAGGGUUCUUUUGGAUCUUGUAAUUGGAAUGAGUACAAUUUAAAUCUCUUAACGAGGAACAAUUGGAGGGCAAGUCUGGUGCCAGCAGCCGCGGCAAUUCCAGCUCCAAUAGCGUAUAUUAAAGUUGUUGCAGUUAAAAAGCUCGUAGUUGAAUUUCGGGAUNNNNNNNCGGUCAUGCCGUUGGUAUGUACUGAUAUUAUUGAUUUCUCACCUUCUAAAGAACCGUAAUGCCAUUAAUUUGGUGUCACGGGGAAUUAGGACUGUUACCUUGAAAAAAUUANAGUGUUUAAAGCAGGCUCACGCUUGAAUACAUUAGCAUGGAAUAAUGAAAUAGGACAUCCGAUUCUAUUUUGUUGGUUUCUAGGAUCGAUGUAAUGAUUAAUAGGGAUAGUUGGGGGCAUUAGUAUUCAAUUGUCAGAGGUGAAAUUCUUGGAUUUAUUGAAGACUAACUACUGCGAAAGCAUUUGCCAAGGAUGUUUUCAUUAAUCAAGAACGAAAGUUAGGGGAUCGAAGACGAUCAGAUACCGUCGUAGUCUUAACCAUAAACUAUGCCGACUAGGGAUCGGAUGAUGUUAAUUUUUUAAUGACUCAUUCGGCGCCUUACGGGAAACCAAAGUGUUUGGGUUCA
rnacentral:rRNA from 1 species